rnacentral:rRNA from 1 species
UACGAAGGGGGCUAGCGUUGCUCGGAAUCACUGGGCGUAAAGCGCACGUAGGCGGAUCUUUAAGUCAGGGGUGAAAUCCCAAGGCUCAACCUUGGAACUGCCUUUGAUACUGGGGAUCUCGAGUCCGGAAGAGGUGAGUGGAACUGCGAGUGUAGAGGUGAAAUUCGUAGAUAUUCGCAAGAACACCAGUGGCGAAGGCGGCUCACUGGUCCGGUUCUGACGCUGAGGCGCGAAAGCGUGGGGAGCAAACAGG